UUGGGCAAAUUUCCUCUUCUAUAAACUUGUAAGCGUCAUAGACUUUUGCAGGGCCGAAACUGGUGUCGAUCGACACCAAGAGUGUGUCGAUCGACACUCCUCUUGAUUCCUGGGUCCAAAAUCGUCCUUAGCUUCCUUUUCCUUACCUCUUGCUCGAAAUGUCUCCUCAUCUCCAUUGUUGUCCCGUUGCAUAGAAUACCUGAAAAGACACUACAAAGACUCGAGAAAUAACAUAAAGACUCAAAAUCCAUUACCAAACACAUAGAUAAAAUCGGUGAAAAUAGGAUAUAUCAAC
rnacentral:sRNA from 1 species